rnacentral:rRNA from 1 species
CCUACGGGAGGCUGCAGUAAGGAAUAUUGGUCAAUGGACGAAAGUCUGAACCAGCCAUGCCGCGUGAAGGAUGAAGGCCCUCUGGGUUGUAAACUUCUUUUAUCUGGGACGAAAAAAGGGAAUUCUUUCCCACUUGACGGUACCAGAGGAAUAAGCACCGGCUAACUCCGUGCCAGCAGCCGCGGUAAUACGGAGGGUGCAAGCGUUAUCCGGAUUCACUGGGUUUAAAGGGAGCGUAGGUGGGCAGGUAAGUCAGUGGUGAAAUCUCCGAGCUUAACUCGGAAACUGCCAUUGAUACUAUUUGUCUUGAAUAUUCUGGAGGUAAGCGGAAUAUGUCAUGUAGCGGUGAAAUGCUUAGAUAUGACAUAGAACACCAAUUGCGAAGGCAGCUUGCUACGGAACUAUUGACACUGAGGCUCGAAAGCGUGGGGAUCAAACAGGCUUAGAUACCCGGGUAGUC